AGGAACACAUCUGCGGCCAUUAAAUUCUGAUUGCUCUGUACCUACAAUAUUUUACAAAGCUGAGGGAGUCAAAACAUAAGAUCCAAGGAGUGUGUAUUUCACGACGAAGAGGGUUAGUAUAUUCAUUUUCAUAUUCUAGGGAUGAAUGUUUGUGUUCCUAAUAACUUCAUAGAAGGCAAUGUGUACUGCAUAAAAAAAUUCUUGGUAAUAUAAAAUCAGAGGUGGAUGUUCAAGCAAUGUAAUAGAGACAACUAUGUGGAUCUAAAAGGUAUUAAGAGUGACAGUUGAACUGAAUCAUAGGCAAGGGCAUAUCAG